rnacentral:rRNA from 1 species
AACCAGACUCCUACGGGAGGCAGCAGUGGGGAAUAUUGCACAAUGGGGGGAACCCUGAUGCAGCGACGCCGCGUGGGUGAAGGAGUAUUUCGGUAUGUAAAGCCCUCUCAGCAGGGAAGAACAAUGACGGUACCUGACUAAGAAGCCCCGGCUAACUACGUGCCAGCAGCCGCGGUAAUACGUAGGGGGCAAGCGUUAUCCGGAUUCACUGGGUGUAAAGGGAGCGCAGGCGGUACGGCGAGUCUGAUGUGAAAACCCGGGGCCCAACCCCGGGACCGCACCGGAUACUGCCGGACUCGAGUGCCGGAGGGGCAGGCGGAAUUCCUGGUGUAGCGGUGAAAUGCGCAGAUAUCAGGAGGAACACCGGUGGCGAAGGCGGCCUGCUGGACGGUAACUGACGCUGAGGCACGAAGGCCAGGGGAGCGAAAGGGAUUAGAUACCCGCGUAGUC